rnacentral:tRNA from 1 species
GUAGCUCAGUGGUAGAGUGCUUGCCUUGCAUGCAUAAGGUCCUGGGUUCAAUUCCUCAGC